rnacentral:rRNA from 1 species
GACGAACGCUGGCGGCGUGCUUAACACAUGCAAGUCGAACGAAGAGCGAUGGAAGCUUGCUUCUAUCAAUCUUAGUGGCGAACGGGUGAGUAACGCGUAAUCAACCUGCCCUUCAGAGGGGGACAACAGUUGGAAACGACUGCUAAUACCGCAUACGAUCUAAUCUCGGCAUCGAGGAUAGAUGAAAGGUGGCCUCUACAUGUAAGCUAUCACUGAAGGAGGGGAUUGCGUCUGAUUAGCUAGUUGGAGGGGUAACGGCCCACCAAGGCGAUGAUCAGUAGCCGGUCUGAGAGGAUGAACGGCCACAUUGGGACUGAGACACGGCCCAGACUCCUACGGGAGGCAGCAGUGGGGAAUCUUCCGCAAUGGACGAAAGUCUGACGGAGCAACGCCGCGUGAGUGAUGACGGCCUUCGGGUUGUAAAGCUCUGUUAAUCGGGACGAAAGGCCUUCUUGCGAAUAGUUAGAAGGAUUG